CCUACGGGAGGCAGCAGUGGGGAAUAUUGGACAAUGGGGGGAACCCUGAUCCAGCCAUGCCGCGUGUGUGAAGAAGGCCCUCGGGUUGUAAAGCACUUUCAGUGAGGAAGAACGCCUGGUGGUUAAUACCCAUCAGGAAAGACAUCACUCACAGAAGAAGCACCGGCUAACUCCGUGCCAGCAGCCGCGGUAAUACGGAGGGUGCGAGCGUUAAUCGGAAUUACUGGGCGUAAAGCGCGCGUAGGUGGCUUGAUAAGCCGGUUGUGAAAGCCCCGGGCUCAACCUGGGAACGGCAUCCGGAACUGUCAAGCUAGAGUGCAGGAGAGGAAGGUAGAAUUCCCGGUGUAGCGGUGAAAUGCGUAGAGAUCGGGAGGAAUACCAGUGGCGAAGGCGGCCUUCUGGACUGACACUGAUACUGAGGUGCGAAAGCGUGGGUAGCAAACAGGAUUAGAUACCCUGGUAGUC
rnacentral:rRNA from 1 species